ACCCUCCCAACUCAUUUCUCUUGGUCAGCCAAAGGAAGAAAAGGGAAGAAAAGAAGAAGAACAAAACCCUAGCUAAGAAAUUCAAGGGAAAAUCACUAGAUUUCAAGGAAUCAAGACAUCAAAGGUGAAAUUUCUUAACUCUAGCUUGUGAUCUAUCUUUCCUAUGCAUUCUUUUGCAUUUUCUAUGGUUGAAUCACAAGAUAUCAUGAAGGAUUCAUGGCUGAUCGAAUUUAGAGAGAGAAUAUUUGAUGAUUUAUUUGGUUAGAUUUUGAGAUAUUUUAGUGUUUUUAGUUGAUUUAUCAUGUUUGGAAGGAAAACAAGCAAGAAAAAUCACGUAUUCUUCAUGGAUUCUUCAUUGGCCGAAUUUCAUAAAGAAAAUAUUGAAGAUGAAUCUUGUGAUGUCUUAUGUUAUUUAGUUAGAAUAUAAUGAAUUGUGGUGGUGGAAAUUGAAAAUGGUAAUGUUUAGCAUGAAAAAUCGUAUACCCCUAAAGAACCUCCAUGGCCGAAUUUUUCCAAGAGAAAAUGUGAGGAUGAUUAUACCAUAUUUCAAGUUAUUUAAUUUGUGUUUGAUGAUUUGGAGUAUUGGCAGAGAAAUGGAAUUAUUUGGAGUUGAAUUUGACGUAUUGGCCAAUUAAUCGGGUGAUAGAUCGCAUUAGGCCAAUACAAUUUUAUUUAGGUACACAAUUGAACUUAUAUUGAACGCCGUAUUUAGAUGGUUACCCGAGCAUUUCACAUCCCAUUUCACGCAUUAGUAUACAACUUGAAUUAGUUUUAUAACAGUUUAGCACAAAUGCAGUAAAUGGCUUAUUGUGCAUUAUGUUUAGGUGGUGAGCU
rnacentral:lncRNA from 1 species